rnacentral:lncRNA from 1 species
CUGGAUAUAAUACCAAAGAGAGAAUAUCCGUCAUUGGUCAAAGUGAACAUAUCAAGGAUAGACUCAGAGGGGAAAGAUAAAAUAGGAAUUACAACUACCGGUUACUGGGCAGAAUACCAAAAAGGGAGAGAAAAUAUGUCGCCGGUUAAAGUGAACAUAUCAAGGAUAAACUCUCUGGGGAAUAAAAAUAGGGAUUACAACUACCUUUUACUGAGUAGAAAACCAC